rnacentral:lncRNA from 1 species
CAACAACAGCAAACCCAGCCACCACAAUCGCCGGCGGAGCAACCGGUGGCGCAUUCAACGCCUUCCAAGCAUAGCCACCAUCAUCCGCAAUGAUUUUCGUCUCCUCCUCCAGAGUGGUGAUCUCGACUCUCUCAACGGGAUGAGCAGCGGCACUCACGGUACUCUCGACGUGUCGCCCACCAUUCACGACGUCCCUCUCCUUC